AAUGAACGCUGGCGGCGCGCCUAAUACAUGCAAGUCGAGCGAGAAGACGUAGCAAUACGUUUGUAAAGCGGCGAACGGGUGAGGAAUACAUGGGUAACCUACCCUAGAGUGGGGAAUAACUAGCCGAAAGGUUAGCUAAUACCGCGUACGCUCCUUGGACUUCGGUUCAGGGAGGAAAGCGAUGCCGAGGGUAUCGCGCUCUUGGAUGGGCUCAUGUCCUAUCAGCUUGUUGGNGAGGUAACGGCUCACCAAGGCUUCGACGGGUAGCUGGUCUGAGAGGACGGUCAGCCACACUGGCACUGCGACACGGGCCAGACUCCUACGGGAGGCAGCAGUAAGGAAUAUUGCGCAAUGGGCGAAAGCCUGACGCAGCGACGCCGCGUGGGGGAUGAAGG
rnacentral:rRNA from 1 species